AAAUUCCCUUCCAUGUCUCUCUCUAAACCUAUUGUUUACUUUUGAUCUCUGUCGACGAAACGAUGAAGCCAGAGUCAAAGAAAAUUUCAGAGAAAAAACUAGUUAAGAUCAACGAUGAUGGAGGUUCUACUUUUGAUCUAAGUUCGCUCAAAGAAGCUAUCAACAAACCAAGCGACAAAGCUCUUCUUGUGAAAACUAAUGUCCCGACAAAGAAAAAAAGUGCAUUCGAUCUAACUUCCAUG